rnacentral:lncRNA from 1 species
GUUGACAGUUGCCUCAUUUGCUGCUGAAGAAGAGGUCUUCGAUGCUGUGAAGAGUCAGUCAAGAUUGGUUCCAGAUUGUUAGGAUGUUAGUUGAAAAUAAAGCUGUCAUAGAUCAGCUCUUUCUCUGUUUUUAUCUUCUCAAUAUUUUUCGGAAUUCUGUUAUCAAACUCUUCUAUAAAAGAGUGAUUUAUCAAUAAAGAAAAUACUUCUAUUCACAACAUUUAUAUCUUUAUCUUAUUGCUGAGUUCUUGCCUGUUCUUAUACAAUUUGUUUCUGUCAUAAACUACAAAUUGGUAUCAGAGCACAUUGAUUUUAAAGGGACCAGCUUGUGAGAAAGAGAGCAACCUGUGAGAAACCCUUCUUCCACCAAAAAACCACAAAACACCAAAACCAAAACCUUUCAUCAUUCUUUCAAAUGGCAUCCAACACUUAUUCUCUUGCAACACCACCAGUAUUUACUGGUGUGAACUACCAAAUGUGGGCUGUGAGAAUGAAAACUUACUUACAAGCCUGCGAUUUAUGGGAUGCUGUUGAACAAGAACAUGAACCUCAGCCUCUUUCUGCAGAUCCAACCAUAGCCCAAAUCAGAAAUAAUCGUGAGGAGAGAUCAAGGAAGUUCAAAGCCAAAACUUGUCUCUAUGCUGCUGUUUCUGAAGCAAUAUUUCCAAGAAUAAUUGCUUUUGAUACAGGGAAACAAAUAUGGAAUUAUCUCAAGGAGGAGUUCCAUGGUAAUGAGAGGACAAUUCAAAUGCAGGUUUUGAAUUUGAGAAGGUAGUUCGAAAUGCAGAAGAUGAAGGACUCAGAAACUAUCAGAGAUUUUUCUGAUAGAUUACUCUCCAUAGUCAACAAAAUAAGACUAUUGGGAGAGGAGCUUUCUGAUCAAAGGGUUGUUGAAAAGAUCCUUGUGACUUUACCCGAGAGGUUUGAGUCAAAGAUAUCCUCAUUAGAAGAAGCCAAAGAUCUGUCAAAAAUAUCUUUGGGAGAAUUGUUAAAUGCCUUACAAGCUCAAGAACAAAGGAGAACUAUAAGGCAAGAAGAAUCCAUGGAAGGAGCUUUUCCAGCAAAGGUGCAAGUCAAAGAAAGUGACAAAGGGAAAAGGAAGAACAUCAAAUACAAGGGAGCAGGCAGUAGCAAUCGAAGAGUUGGAACCUUUCCCCCUUGUCAACACUGUAAGAAAACAAAUCACUCACAAAACUACUGUUGGUGGAGACCUGAUGUUAAAUGCAGGAAAUGCAAUCAGCUGGGACACAUGGAAAAAAUCUGCAAGAACAGAACAAAUCAACAACAUGAAGAGGCUCAAGUUGCUGAUCAACAACAGGAGGAACAAUUGUUUGUGGCCACCUGUUUUGUAAGCAAACAUGCAAGUGAUUGCUGGUUGAUAGACAGUGGUUGCACAAAUCACAUGACAAAUGAUGUGAAUUUGUUCAAACAUCUUGAUAAAUCAAGUGUCUCAAAAGUCAGAAUUGGUAAUGGCGAAUAUAUUCUUGUCAAAGGAAAAGGGACAGUGGCCAUCGAAGGGAAUUCAGGUAUUAAACUCAUUUCAGAUGUCCUUUUUGUACCUGAAAUCGAUCAAAACCUGUUGAGUGUUGGCCAACUUCUUGAAAAAGGAUACUCGGUUGUUUUCAAGAACAAGCACUGUUUAAUUUCUGAUCCUACUGGAUUAGAGAUUUUCACCAUAAAAAUGCAAGGGAAAAGCUUUUCUCUAGAUUGGAUGGAAGAGGAGACAGCAGCAGUAUCAAACACAACAAAUGAAGCUGACUUAUGGCAUAAGAGGAUGGGCCACUUCAAUCAAGCAGCUUUGGUUUAUAUGCAGAGAAGGAAGAUGGUGAGAGGGGUGCCCAGCCUAGAAGAAAAAAUCACGGUUUGUGUUUCUUGUCAAUAUGGCAAGCAACACAGACUUGGAUUUCCUCAAAACAAAGCUUGGAGAGCAAGUGAAAAACUUCAGCUUAUUCACACUGAUGUUGCAGGCCCUCAGAUGACAGAUUCGUUAAAUGGAAGCAGGUAUUAUGUUGCUUUCAUUGACGAUUAUACAAGAAUGUGCUGGGUGUAUUUUUUAAAAUCCAAAGCUGAAGUAGCAGGUGUUUUUUUGAGGUUUAAAAACUGGGUUGAAAAUCAAAGUGGUCAUAAAAUUCAGAUUGUGAGGUCUGAUAAUGGCACAGAAUAUACUUCAAACAAGUUUGCCCAGUUUUGUCAUGAUGCAGGGAUUGAACAUCAAUACACUACACCUUACACACCUCAGCAGAAUGGUGUGAGUGAGAGGAAGAACAGGACAAUCAUGGAGAUGGCAAGAUGCUUAUUAUUUGAGAAAGAUUUGCCAAAAAAAUUCUGGGCAGAAGCUGUGAACACUGCUGUGUUCUUGUUAAACAGGCUGCCAACAAGAGCAUUACAACACAAAACACCUUAUGAAGUUUGGCAUGGUUAUAAACCCUCACUUCAAAACUUAAAAGUGUUUGGAUGCUUAUGUUUCACUCAUAUACCUCAGGUGAAAAGAGAUAAGCUUGACAGGAAGGCUGAAGCUGGAAUUUUCGUUGGCUAUAGCAAUGUCACAAAAGGCUAUAGAGUUUAUCAACCUGCAACAGAAAAAAUCAUUAUCAGCAGAGACAUCAAAUUCGUUGAAGCUGAAAAAUGGAAUUUUGAAGACACAACAAGCAAUGCAAGUAAGGAGAUCAUGCAAGAUUUUGAUGAAGAUGUUGAUGACACACCAGUCAGAGGUACCAGACUUCUUGCAGACAUUUAUCAAAGCUUCAAUGUAGCUGUGCUUGAACCUGCAGAAUAUGAGGAGGCCAAAAAUGAUCCAAGAUGGGUCACAACAAUGAAAGAAGAGCUAAGCAUGAUUGAGAAGAAUCAAACAUGGGAAUUGGUGGAUAUGCCGACACACAAACAACCCAUUGGUGUAAAAUGGGUUUAUAGAACAAAAUUGAAUGCAGAUGGCACUAUCAACAAACACAAAGCUAGAAUUGUGGUCAAAGGCUAUGCACAAGUCUUUGGUGUGGAUUUUUCAGAAACAUAUGCCCCAGUAGCUCGUCUUGACACCAUCAGAAUGUUGCUAGCAAUUGCAGCUCACAAAGGUUGGAAAAUAUUUCAACUUGAUGUGAAGUCUGCAUUUUUGAAUGGUUACCUGCAGGAGGAGAUUUACGUGGAACAACCUAAAGGUUUCAUGGUAGAAGGAGAAGAAGACAAGGUUUACUUAUUGAAGAAGGCUUUAUAUGGACUGAAACAGGCUCCAAGAGCCUGGUAUAACAGGAUUGAUGAGCAUUUACUCAAACAUGGCUUCAACAAAAGUUUGAGUGAAUCGACCUUAUAUAUCAAGAGUUCAAACACUGGUCUUAUGGCUGUUUCACUUUAUGUGGAUGAUUUAUUUGUUACAGGUAACAAUUCAACCAUGAUAGACAUCUUCAAAGCUGAAAUGAUGGAAGUUUUUGAGAUGACAGACCUUGGUGAAAUGUCCUAUUUUCUUGGCAUGGAAGUGCAGCAAAAUCAGCUUGGGAUCUUUGUUGGCCAACAAAAGUAUGCCAAAGAGAUUCUGAAGAAAUUCAAAAUGGAAGACUGCAAAUCAAUGACCACGCCUAUGAAUUUGAAAGAGAAGUUCAGUAAAGAAGAUGGGGCAGACAAGGUGGAUGAAGCAAUUUACAGGAGCUUAAUUGGGUGUCUUAUGUACCUUACGGCAACAAGGCCAGACAUCAUGCAUGCAGUGAGCUUAUUAUCGAGGUUCAUGCAUUGUGCUAGUGAAAUACACUUCAAGGCUGCAAAAAGAGUGGUGAGAUACAUAAAAGGUACACUAAACUAUGGCAUUAAGUUUAGUUGUGCUGAAAAUUUCGAGCUACAAGGAUAUGCAGAUAGUGAUUGGGCUGGCAGCUGUGAUGAUAUGAAGAGCACGUCUGGAUAUUGUUUUAGUUUUGGAUCAGGAAUUUUCUCCUGGUGUUCCAAAAAACAAGAAGUUAUUGCUCAAUCAACGGCAGAAGCAGAGUAUGUUGCAGCUACUGCAGCUGCAAAUCAAGUCUUAUGGCUUAGAAAAAUCCUAGCAGAUCUGGACAUGGAGCAAAGGGAAGCUACUAAAGUUAAUGUUGACAAUCAAGCUGCAAUUGCAAUAUCUAACAAUCCAAUUUUCCAUGGGAAAACAAAGCAUUUCAAGCUCAAGUAUUAUUUUCUGAGAGAAGUUCAGAAAAAUGAAGAACUGCAACUGAUUUAUUGCAAGACAGAAGACCAACUUGCUGAUAUAUUAACCAAGCCAUUGCCAAAAGCAAGGUUUGAAACUUUGAGGAACAAGAUAGGAGUCUGCAGCAAAAGAUGCAAGGAGGAGUGUUGACAGUUGCCUCAUUUGCUGCUGAAGAAGAGGUCUUCGAUGCUGUGAAGAGUCAGUCAAGAUUGGUUCCAGAUUGUUAGGAUGUUAGUUGAAAAUAAAGCUGUCAUAGAUCAGCUCUUUCUCUGUUUUUAUCUUCUCAAUAUUUUUCGGAAUUCUGUUAUCAAACUCUUCUAUAAAAGAGUGAUUUAUCAAUAAAGAAAAUACUUCUAUUCACAA